GACGAACGCUGGCGGCGUGCUUAACACAUGCAAGUCGAACGGAAAGGCCCUGCUUUUGUGGGGUGCUCGAGUGGCGAACGGGUGAGUAACACGUGAGUAACCUGCCCUUGACUUUGGGAUAACUUCAGGAAACUGGGGCUAAUACCGGCUAGGAGCUCCUGCUGCAUGGUGGGGGUUGGAAAGUUUCGGCGGUUGGGGAUGGACUCGCGGCUUAUCAGCUUGUUGGUGGGGUAGUGGCUUACCAAGGCUUUGACGGGUAGCCGGCCUGGGAGGGUGACCGGCCACAUUGGGACUGAGAUACGGCGCAGACUCCAACGGGAGGCAGCAGUGGGGAGUAUGGCACAAUGGGCGGAAGCCUGAUGCAGCAACGCCGCGUGCGGGAUGACGGCCUUCGGGUUGUAAACCGCUUUCGCCUGUGACGAAGCGUGAGUGACGGUAAUGAGUAAAGAAGCACCGGCUAACUACGUG
rnacentral:rRNA from 1 species